AAGUCGUAACAAGGUUUCCGUAGGUGAACCUGCGGAAGGAUCAUUAGAGUAACAAACAAAGGGGGACGAGGUUGUAGCUGGCCGCUCCGGUGGCAUGUGCACGCCUCUCCUCCGAAACCAAACCACACACCUGUGCACCUUCGCGUGGGUCGGGAGGAGUAAAACCCGAUCGGCCUGCGUCCUUUUACAACAAACGCAUGUCUUCAGAAUGUAACACAUUGAUGUCUUAAAACAACAUCCAAUACAACUUUCAACAACGGAUCUCUUGGCUCUC
rnacentral:misc_RNA from 1 species